rnacentral:rRNA from 1 species
AGUGAACGCUGGCGGUAGGCCUAACACAUGCAAGUCGAACGGCAGCACAGUAAGAGCUUGCUCUUACGGGUGGCGAGUGGCGGACGAGUGAGGAAUACAUCGGAAUCUACUUUUUCGUGGGGGAUAACGUAGGGAAACUUACGCUAAUACCGCAUACGACCUACGGGUGAAAGCAGGGGAUCUUCGGACCUUGCGCGAUUGAAUGAGCCGAUGUCGGAUUAGCUAGUUGGCGGGGUAAAGGCCCACCAAGGCGACGAUCCGUGGCUGGUCUGAGAGGAUGAUCAGCCACACUGGAACUGAGACACGGUCCAGACUCCUACGGGAGGCAGCAGUGGGGAAUAUUAGACAAAGGGCGCAAGCCUGAUCCAGCCAUACCGCGUGGGUGAAGAAGGCCUUCGGGUUGUAAAGCCCUUUUGUUGGGAAAGAAAAGCAGCAGGUUAAUACCCCGCUGUUCUGACGGUACCCAAAGAAUAAGCACCGGCUAACUUCGUG